GCAACCGCUUCCCAGACGGCGCGGGGGGGCCGGGUCGCUCCUCGCCCCGCGGCUUCGUUAACGGCUCGGGCAGGGGCGGUGAGGCGGCGGGGCGACCUCCGGCCCUCCUCGUCCCCGGGGGCCGGAAUAGCGUGGUUACAGUACGAAAGACUGCCAGGACGUUUUCCAAAGAUCUCCCUGAGCUUCGACCCAGCCUUCUGAGGAGCGAUCCUGGCUGCUUUUCAAGUCUCAGUGUACAAAUCAUGUGAUAUACUGGGACAAGAGCUGUCCAGCAGAGGAGCUCUUUCUAAGAAAAUGCUUCUGGCACCAAUUAGAGCUGGGAGCAAGGAUACAGGAAAAAACAGCCAGAAGCAGGAACUGGAAAAUCUGGUGUCCUCAUUUGUGAUCUCUGAACAUCUGGCACACAGACACACUGCAAGAUCCCUUGUUUAUAAUGUUCAUGUGUUUGUGGGACAGCAUAGCCACACUUGAAUUCAUGCAUCUCCACAAAAAUGGCUCUUUCCCCACUCCCUGACAUCUCUGAGGUUAAUGGAUAGCAAGGGCAAGAGAUCUGUAGUGAAAAUUGAUGCUUUUGAGGGACAGAUGACUGAGCAAAGUGUUUAGCGAGAGUUUAAUGAUAAAAAAGCAUGAGAAAUGAACUUUUCCUACUUUACAUUGUGAAUGUAAGCUGAUUUGCAUAUAAAUUGGACCUGUCAAGUGUACUAAUACCGAUCAAAAAGCUGUGAAAAUAGAACUGAUGUUGCAAACAAAUCAUUAAUUUACGUGAAGAUAGUGAAAUGUUGCUGUUUGUUUUAUUUAUUUUUUCAAAGCAGUUUGGAAAAGCCAGAUAGUGAAAAGUGAGGUGCUUGGAGCUAAACUUGGAAGUUUGAGAGCUUUAGGUUGACAAUGUGCUUGUU